rnacentral:snoRNA from 1 species
GCCCCGUGAUGAGAACAUGGCAAAUAUGAGCUGAUUGGCUGGGUUUUUGUGUUCUCUUGCUUUCUGACUGGUGGGUAAUCUUGGCAGAGCAGUGGAGAUUGGCUGCGCUGCUGUAAGGGCCCACCCAUAUUGAUGCCGGCUGUCAAGCAUAAUACAAUUCUCCUGUAGAAAUGGAUAUUUGUGGAUGAUUUGGCAGCUUACAGUGUGUGUGUGUGUGUGUGUGUGUGUGUGUUUAUGUCCUGGGUGUGUGUAAAUGUGUCAGUCAGCAAAGAGUCACAUCUCCUAACAGGCUCACCGGCUGUGAAUGUUUUCUUUGGUAAUCUGAGGGCA